AUAACAGCUGAAAACGGCUGCUAAUACCGCAUAAGCGCACGAGGAGACAUCUCCUUGUGUGAAAAACUCCGGUGGUACAGGAUGGGCCCGCGUCUGAUUAGCUGGUUGGCAGGGUAACGGCCUACCAAGGCAACGAUCAGUAGCCGGUCUGAGAGGAUGAACGGCCACAUUGGAACUGAGACACGGUCCAAACUCCUACGGGAGGCAGCAGUGGGGAAUAUUGCACAAUGGGGGAAACCCUGAUGCAGCAACGCCGCGUGAGUGAAGAAGUAUUUCGGUAUGUAAAGCUCUAUCAGCAGGGAAGAUAAUGACGGUACCUGACUAAGAAGCUCCGGCUAAAUACGUGCCAGCAGCCGCGGUAAUACGUAUGGAGCAAGCGUUAUCCGGAUUUACUGGGUGUAAAGGGUGCGUAGGUGGCAGUGCAAGUCAGAUGUGAAAGGCCGGGGCUCAACCCCGGAGCUGCAUUUGAAACUGCUCGGCUAGAGUACAGGAGAGGCAGGCGGAAUUCCUAGUGUAGCGGUGAAAUGCGUAGAUAUUAGGAGGAACACCAGUGGCGAAGGCGGCCUGCUGGACUGUUACUGACACUGAGGCACGAAAGCGUGGGGAGCAAACAGGAUUAGAUACCCUGGUAGUCCACGCCGUAAAC
rnacentral:rRNA from 1 species